rnacentral:rRNA from 2 species
ACCAGAAGUAGGUAGCUUAACCGCAAGGGGGGCGCUUACCACGGUAGGAUUCGUGACUGGGGUGAAGUCGUAACAAGGUAGCCGUAUCGGAAGGUGCGGCUGGAUCACCUCCUUUCUAGA